GUGCCAUUAAUGAGCAUCUGUUGGACUAAGUGUCUUGCAGACCUUGCUCAAACCUAGUGGCAAUAGUAACUACCAUCACACGAGCCUUAAUGACUUCAUGUGUCUAUUAAGGUCCUUGAUAAUGGCUACAUUG